UAACCUGCCCUUGACUUUGGGAUAACUUCAGGAAACUGGGGCUAAUACCGGAUAGGAGCUCCUGCUGCAUGGUGGGGGUUGGAAAGUUUCGGCGGUUGGGGAUGGACUCGCGGCUUAUCAGCUUGUUGGUGGGGUAGUGGCUUACCAAGGCUUUGACGGGUAGCCGGCCUGAGAGGGUGACCGGCCACAUUGGGACUGAGAUACGGCCCAGACUCCUACGGGAGGCAGCAGUGGGGAAUAUUGCACAAUGGGCGGAAGCCUGAUGCAGCAACGCCGCGUGCGGGAUGACGGCCUUCGGGUUGUAAACCGCUUUCGCCUGUGACGAAGCGUGAGUGACGGUAAUGGGUAAAGAAGCACCGGCUAACUACGUGCCAGCAGCCGCGGUGAUACGUAGGGUGCGAGCGUUGUCCGGAUUUAUUGGGCGUAAAGGGCUCGUAGGUGGUUGAUCGCGUCGGAAGUGUAAUCUUGGGGCUUAACCCUGAGCGUGCUUUCGAUACGGGUUGACUUGAGGAAGGUAGGGGAGAAUGGAAUUCCUGGUGGAGCGGUGGAAUGCGCAGAUAUCAGGAGGAACACCAGUGGCGAAGGCGGUUCUCUGGGCCUUUCCUGACGCUGAGGAGCGAAAGCGUGGGGAGCGAACAGGCUUAGAUACCCUGGUAGUCCACGCUGUAAACGGUGGGUACUAGGUGUGGGGUCCAUUCCACGGGUUCCGUGCCGUAGCUAACGCUUUAAGUACCCCGCCUGGGGAGU
rnacentral:rRNA from 1 species